rnacentral:rRNA from 1 species
GUGUCAGCCGCCGCGGUAAUACGUAGGGGGCGAGCGUUGUCCGGAAUUACUGGGCGUAAAGGGUGCGUAGGCGGCCCUUUAAGUCGGAUGUGAAAGCCCGCGGCUUAACCGCGGAAUGGCAUUCGAAACUGGAGGGCUUGAGUGUCGGAGAGGGUAGUGGAAUUCCCAGUGUAGCGGUGAAAUGCGUAGAUAUUGGGAGGAACACCAGUGGCGAAGGCGGCUUUCUGGACUGUCCCUGACGCUGAGGCGCGAAAGCCAGGGGAGCGAACGGGAUUAGAUACCCUGGUAGUCCUAGCCGUAAACGAUGGGUACUAGGUGUAGGGGUUUCGAUACCUCUGUGCCGCAGUUAACGCAAUAAGUACCCCGCCUGGGGAGUACGGUCGCAAGACUGAAACUUAAAUAAAUUGACGG